AGCGUACACGGUGGAUGCCCUGGCAGUCAGAGGCGAUGAAGGACGUGCUAAUCUGCGAUAAGCGUCGGUAAGGUGAUAUGAACCGUUAUAACCGGCGAUUUCCGAAUGGGGAAACCCAGUGUGUUUCGACACACUAUCAUUAACUGAAUCCAUAGGUUAAUGAGGCGAACCGGGGGAACUGAAACAUCUAAGUACCCCGAGGAAAAGAAAUCAACCGAGAUUCCCCCAGUAGCGGCGAGCGAACGGGGAGCAGCCCAGAGCCUGAAUCAGUGUGUGUGUUAGUGGAAGCGUCUGGAAAGGCGCGCGAUACAGGGUGACAGCCCCGUACACAAAAAUGCACAUGCUGUGAGCUCGAUGAGUAGGGCGGGACACGUGGUAUCCUGUCUGAAUAUGGGGGGACCAUCCUCCAAGGCUAAAUACUCCUGACUGACCGAUAGUGAACCAGUACCGUGAGGGAAAGGCGAAAAGAACCCCGGCGAGGGGAGUGAAAAAGAACCUGAAACCGUGUACGUACAAGCAGUGGGAGCACGCUUAGGCGUGUGACUGCGUACCUUUUGUAUAAUGGGUCAGCGACUUAUAUUCUGUAGCAAGGUUAACCGAAUAGGGGAGCCGAAGGGAAACCGAGUCUUAACUGGGCGUUAAGUUGCAGGGUAUAGACCCGAAACCCGGUGAUCUAGCCAUGGGCAGGUUGAAGGUUGGGUAACACUAACUGGAGGACCGAACCGACUAAUGUUGAAAAAUUAGCGGAUGACUUGUGGCUGGGGGUGAAAGGCCAAUCAAACCGGGAGAUAGCUGGUUCUCCCCGAAAGCUAUUUAGGUAGCGCCUCGUGAAUUCAUCUCCGGGGGUAGAGCACUGUUUCGGCAAGGGGGUCAUCCCGACUUACCAACCCGAUGCAAACUGCGAAUACCGGAGAAUGUUAUCACGGGAGACACACGGCGGGUGCUAACGUCCGUCGUGAAGAGGGAAACAACCCAGACCGCCAGCUAAGGUCCCAAAGUCAUGGUUAAGUGGGAAACGAUGUGGGAAGGCCCAGACAGCCAGGAUGUUGGCUUAGAAGCAGCCAUCAUUUAAAGAAAGCGUAAUAGCUCACUGGUCGAGUCGGCCUGCGCGGAAGAUGUAACGGGGCUAAACCAUGCACCGAAGCUGCGGCAGCGACGCUGAUGCGUUGUUGGGUAGGGGAGCGUUCUGUAAGCCUGCGAAGGUGUGCUGUGAGGCAUGCUGGAGGUAUCAGAAGUGCGAAUGCUGACAUAAGUAACGAUAAAGCGGGUGAAAAGCCCGCUCGCCGGAAGACCAAGGGUUCCUGUCCAACGUUAAUCGGGGCAGGGUGAGUCGACCCCUAAGGCGAGGCCGAAAGGCGUAGUCGAUGGGAAACAGGUUAAUAUUCCUGUACUUGGUGUUACUGCGAAGGGGGGACGGAGAAGGCUAUGUUGGCCGGGCGACGGUUGUCCCGGUUUAAGCGUGUAGGCUGGUUUUCCAGGCAAAUCCGGAAAAUCAAGGCUGAGGCGUGAUGACGAGGCACUACGGUGCUGAAGCAACAAAUGCCCUGCUUCCAGGAAAAGCCUCUAAGCAUCAGGUAACAUCAAAUCGUACCCCAAACCGACACAGGUGGUCAGGUAGAGAAUACCAAGGCGCUUGAGAGAACUCGGGUGAAGGAACUAGGCAAAAUGGUGCCGUAACUUCGGGAGAAGGCACGCUGAUAUGUAGGUGAAGUCCCUCGCGGAUGGAGCUGAAAUCAGUCGAAGAUACCAGCUGGCUGCAACUGUUUAUUAAAAACACAGCACUGUGCAAACACGAAAGUGGACGUAUACGGUGUGACGCCUGCCCGGUGCCGGAAGGUUAAUUGAUGGGGUUAGCGCAAGCGAAGCUCUUGAUCGAAGCCCCGGUAAACGGCGGCCGUAACUAUAACGGUCCUAAGGUAGCGAAAUUCCUUGUCGGGUAAGUUCCGACCUGCACGAAUGGCGUAAUGAUGGCCAGGCUGUCUCCACCCGAGACUCAGUGAAAUUGAACUCGCUGUGAAGAUGCAGUGUACCCGCGGCAAGACGGAAAGACCCCGUGAACCUUUACUAUAGCUUGACACUGAACAUUGAGCCUUGAUGUGUAGGAUAGGUGGGAGGCUUAGAAGUGUGGACGCCAGUCUGCAUGGAGCCGACCUUGAAAUACCACCCUUUAAUGUUUGAUGUUCUAACGUUGACCCGUAAUCCGGGUUGCGGACAGUGUCUGGUGGGUAGUUUGACUGGGGCGGUCUCCUCCUAAAGAGUAACGGAGGAGCACGAAGGUUGGCUAAUCCUGGUCGGACAUCAGGAGGUUAGUGCAAUGGCAUAAGCCAGCUUGACUGCGAGCGUGACGGCGCGAGCAGGUGCGAAAGCAGGUCAUAGUGAUCCGGUGGUUCUGAAUGGAAGGGCCAUCGCUCAACGGAUAAAAGGUACUCCGGGGAUAACAGGCUGAUACCGCCCAAGAGUUCAUAUCGACGGCGGUGUUUGGCACCUCGAUGUCGGCUCAUCACAUCCUGGGGCUGAAGUAGGUCCCAAGGGUAUGGCUGUUCGCCAUUUAAAGUGGUACGCGAGCUGGGUUUAGAACGUCGUGAGACAGUUCGGUCCCUAUCUGCCGUGGGCGCUGGAGAACUGAGGGGGGCUGCUCCUAGUACGAGAGGACCGGAGUGGACGCAUCACUGGUGUUCGGGUUGUCAUGCCAAUGGCACUGCCCGGUAGCUAAAUGCGGAAGAGAUAAGUGCUGAAAGCAUCUAAGCACGAAACUUGCCCCGAGAUGAGUUCU
rnacentral:rRNA from 1 species